rnacentral:lncRNA from 1 species
UGUUUUCUCAAUUAGGUAAAAUGUGACCUAGUAAGUGGAAACUUUCUUGGUCAGUUCAUUACAUGAUGUCACCAAUAAGCAAAACUUAGUUAUAUGUUUUUUCCCUUUUCAGUUAGUCAUGGUAAAGUAACCAAAAAGGAUUGUGCUUUCAGGAUUUUUCAAAGACACUGAUGUGCCUGACCAAUAAGCCAUGUACUUAGUGUGCAAAUGCUGUGGUUUAAUUUCUUCAAAAAGUGAAUCAUAGAAGUUUCUCACAGGUAGAAGCAGAAUUCUUCAGUCUUUCAGUCAUUCAAGUCACAUCAUUUAAGUCCUGUUUCUUCCUAAUUAAAAAUAUGUUCAUAUCCUUCCCAAUCUCAUCCCAGGAAAUAGAGACCUUCCACCAUCUUCCAGGACUGCAUGCAAGCUGCAGACAUACUCCAACUUGGACUGAAUUUGACCUGAAGGAAUGCUCCUGCAUCAUUCCAACAGGAAAGUAAUGUUUUUAUUUACAUGUGCAGAAACACUCUGACUUUCUCGCACCAUCACUACGUUUAACAGAUUAGUUUGUGAGAAUAUUUGGGAUUUAUUUUUUGGUACUGGGGAUCAAACUCAGGCCCUCGUGCUUGUGCAGCAGGCAGCAAAACCACUGAGCUAAAUCCUCAGCCCUUUGUGAGAAUAUUUGGAACAAAUUCAAGUGAAGUAAUCUCUGCUGAACAAGUUUCUUCCUGUGAGCAAUCCCUCAAGGAACAACACUUGGGUCUUUCCAAGAAAUAGUGGCAAACUGCUAAGUGAUAUGAAGACCUCUAAUGUGAAAAUUAAAAUUUUCAAAUUGUAAUGAUGGAUAAGCUAGGAGUUGCACAUUGUGACACAUUAAGUAAAUCAAGAAAUAUCUAAUCCAGCCUGAAAGAGGAAGCAGUCUAACUUCCUUCACCAACCACAAACUAGCAAAUAUGCCCUUCCUCACUGUCUGAGAGUCUCUACCCAAAGAAUUCUGAGGCUCAGAGGAAGGAACUUGGAACUGGAAAAUCCACUGUAGUUCUAAUUCUUGAAAAGACAGAUAACCAUAGUUUCUCACUUCUAUUGGAGUGGAAGUUUUUGAUCAAGGCCUGAGUUUUGUCUGAUGGACCAUAAUGGUCUUCCUUCUAUAAUGCAAUCCCUUAAUUUCAGUCCCAUAUUAAUUUAACAACUGCUUCUACAAGAAUUAAAGUUUUUUAAAGGAAAAUAUGAACAGUGGUUAUGGUCUUCCAAGGUUACUUCCUUAAUUUGUCUUGCUAUUGGGUCCAAUGAGCUCCUACUGUCCUGUUUUGUUACAAAUUGGAUCAUGUGUGUUUGAAAGUCUCAAGGUACAGGGUCACAUACAUACCUCACUGAACCCAAUGAAGAUCUGUACCAGGUGAUGGGUUCUGGUAGAACCUUCCUACCAAGUGCAUUUAAUCCAGAACCCUCAGAUGUAGCAUGUAUUAUUUCCAAGAGAAACUACAUGUCUAAUCAAUGUGCCUAUCUAAUUGCAAAGUAGUAAAAGAUGUAGAGCUGUAUCUUUAAUUUGGAAGAAUCACCUAAUAUGAUCAAACUUCUGUUGCUUAAAUUAUUUCUCAAAGCUGGAGAAUUUAUGUAUUCUAAUGCAGCCUCUAUAUCUCUUCCAGUAAGAAAAUACUUCAAAAUUUUUAACUGGUGUAAAUGUUGUCAGAAAAUCUUGAUAUGCUUCAUAGUUAACAGUGCAUUUCUCAAUGACUCUUAGAGAAAAUAAAUCAUGAUUGAAGCCACCCCUUUAAAUUCUUUUGCUGCUUCAAAUAGUUAUGUAUGUGACCCCGCAUCCAAAGUCUUAAUGACACAGAAGGUCCAAUAUCUAGCUACACAUACUCAGACAAGCUCAGUGCAGGUGCAGCAAAGCCAAAAUAAGGGAGUGAGAUGGAAGAAAUAAGCACUGCUCUCUGAAAAAUAGCUUUCAUGUGGAAUCAGUUAUUCGUUUAAUAUUGAAUUGAAAUGAGACUGAAUUAACAGAUGUGAUGAUCUUUCUGGUUGCAACUGACACAGAUUCAUACUUGGAACACAAGCUUCCAAUCCAACUAAUGGUGCAGAGCAAGGAUCACAUAAUCUAAUUCUGUGCAAGAAUCAGGUCAACUGCAGCAGAUUCUCCAGUGCACAGCUACCUGCUCCUAGCCUCAGGCUCCCUGAACAGAUGCUUCUCAGAGUUAGAGUGAGGCUGUCAUUAGCUGGGCUGGGGUGGGAGAGAGCACUGGAAGUGCUUUCCCUUCAUGCUGUUUAAGUUUACUUGCCUGACAUAAAUAGUUCAUGAGGUGUGCACCUCAUAGUUUAUAAAUCAAUACACUAAAUUUUUUUACAUUACAUUGCACUCUUUUACAUUACAUUUACAUUACAAUACAAGUCUUCACAUCACUGGGAGUCAGCUACUCUUUCUUGGCAAAACCCAAGUCUACUUCCUCUAGGGAUUUUGCAUGGGAAGAAACCUGUUCAGAGGCAAUUACUGCACUUGAGUAUGUUCCAAAUACUCUAAUAAAUGAAUCUAUUAAAAGAUUAGUGAUGCAAAAGGUCAUAGGCUGUAUCUGCAGAUAUAAAUGGAGGAGUUACUCUCCUGUUAGAAUGAGCCAAGAGGUUCCUGAAAACUCAGAUUCUUCCCAAGCUUGCAUAUGUGUUCAGUUGGUAUCUAGUCCUGGGCAUGCCCUGUUUUCUUAUUGUAUUAUCAUGGUUCAUAGAAAUUAGUGGAAGUACUCAAUUUCCUGGGAUGACAUUGUGAAGAUCCAGGGACAAUGGUUUUAAUUUCUUAAAAAAUGAGGCCUCGGGAAAAUGUCAUUUGGAUGGCUACAAGAUGGAAAACCACUGCUUCUACUUCUGAGAAACCUUUAUCAUCAACAUUUCCAAGAAACUAAAUUUAAGCCUUUGCCUUGUUAGAUACAUGGCUUAUUUACCAGCUAUAGAUCUUCUAAAUCAACUGAAAGAGAACUGUGAAAUGGACAUGUUGAAGUUCGCCCACAGCUGGUUUCCAAAGAGGACUCAGACUCUGCAAAUUUUCCUCAACUUCAAAUCCAUUUUUAAAACACUUUUAAAAGAAAAAAAUACUAAAUACACAGUGAUGUCUUUAUUUUCUCUUGCUUCCCUGUAGUCAAAAUGCAUUUGUUCACAGGUAAUCAUUGCUGGUACUUCUAUAUAAUGAAAGAGAUACUUCCUAAAACAUUG